rnacentral:lncRNA from 1 species
CUCAUUUACCUUUAAAGUUCUUAAUUCAUAGUUUUCAAAAAUAAUCUCUUCUCAAUAACAAAUCAUGGCUACCAAAUAUAUAUCAUUCACAAAAUAAUAUUACCAUCUCCCAACCUGUGGCAACAUUAUCAUGCUAACCAAACAUACAGUGUUUACAACAAAUCUAAUCAAUUACAUUUAAAUAACCAUAUACACAUACAAAAGACCUUGAAUAUUAGCGUAGUGACUUUAGCGUGGAUACUAUCAUGGGGUGUGCUGGUAAACCUACCAGAAGAUGAACUGGAGGAAGCACUUUUACUUAGGAUCCAACAACCUUCGAGCCUGAAAACUAAAACAAGAAGUUGAAAAGAAUGAGUAUAAACCCAGUGAGUGAACAUAGGAAGGGAACAAGCAAACGAUAAGGAGAGUUUAGAAAUCAUGAUGCACUUAUAUUAAAAACAAUGCAAUUUAGUUUAAUUCCUCAUAAAACCCCUCAAUUCGACCUUUGAUUAUUUAACCGCUUAGUGUUGAAGGAUCCAUGAUCCAUAAUGAAAUCGAAAAGUAAGAACCACAGUAAAUAUUCAAGCAAGACAAGCAACACAAAGAGUUUUUUUUUGUUGCAUUGCAAAUCAAUUUGGAAACAAUUAACAAUUUCAACAUUCAACAUUCAUUGCAAUCACAUAUUAUUUUCUCUAACAUUUCUAUGGUAUGUAUAAACAUGUAUACAACUACUAGCUCAUCAGCUCAUGUGCACUCCCACACUGCACAUAGCUGGAAUCAUCAUCAACCUGUCAUCAACUCAUGUGCACUCCCACACCGCACAUAACUAAAAUCAUCAUCCACCAAUCAUCAGCUCAUGUGCACUCCCACACUGCACAUAGUUGGAAUCACACGUCAUCACCGGCAUGUGCACUCCCACAUUGCACACAAGCGGUUACAAUUAUCACACAAUAUUAUCAUUCAAAGCAUAACAUAUAUAUCAUCAGAAUAUAAGAACACAUGGGUUCAUCACAUUACACAUUUUAUAACAUAAAAUGUUUCAUCAAAGGCUUGCUCCCAAGCAUGAUUUAGAGAAAAAAAAUCAAAUAAAAUGAUUUAAGUGCUUUAUCCUAACACAUAUGUAUUUCCCCAAAACAAUUUAAUACAAGUUCACUCACCUUAACAAUGCCACCUAAAAAGACUAGCACCCACAAGAUCUUAAUCCAGGUAGUCCCAAAAUACCAUUAAAACCUAUAAUUGCCAAUAAACAAUAAUAGCUUCAAAUAUAUCAUAAAUUUAAACUUAAUAAUUCUAAUAAGCAUACUCUUGAUAAAUUACAUUCUAGCCUAAUUUUUUUAACCUAGAAUUCUAAUCGAAUUCUCAAACCCAUCAUAUCAACUAUUCUAAUUUAAAGGUUUUGUACCUUGGUGAGCUUGGAGUCAUAAAAAUCAACAAAAGCCUAAUAUUUCCAAGAAAAAGAAUUUGAAGAAAUUAGAAAAUAAUAUAUGAAAAUAUAACCCAUAAAUUCAUAAAUUCCAAGAGUUGAAAAUAUAUACCUUUUAGCCUUAAAAAUGGAGAUUUAAAGUUGAAAAUUCAAGUGUCGGUGAUGGUGGAGUAGAAAUAGAAGAUUAAGGAAAGAAAGAGAUAUUUUUUCCUUUUCUCUCCUAGGGUUUGGUUGUGCUAGAAAAUGGGGCUAGAAGCUGUAGGUUUGGUGCCCAAGAAGUUAGGAGAAGAAAGAAGUAAGAAAAGAAAGGAAAUGAAAAGAAAACAAGGAAAAUCAAAUGAAAAAAAUUUUAUUUUCAUGGAGGUAAAAUGAAAAUGGAGUUGGGUGGGUGAGGAAGAAGAAGAAAAUAUCCUUUUGGUGAAGAUGAGAACCGGUCAUGGGAUAAGAAUGAAGAGUCAAAGCUUCCUUUGGAAGCUUUGACCUAACCAAUGGCAAAAUUACCAUUUUACCCUCUAAGGUUUUCACCCUUUUUAAUUGUAUUGUCCUUUAAUCUUUUAAUUCCAAUUUCUUUCCAUUUUUCUUCCUUAACACUUGUACAAAUAAAAUGUCAAGUUUAUGCUUCAACACGAUAUUACCGUAAUAUUUAAAUAUUUGCUUACCUGCGCUAGCUUUAUUUAAUAAAGACACGCGAGCCCCAUUAACGUCAUUUUUCUCUGAAAUUUUCUCGUUCUUCUUCUUCCCCACUUAGAUUGACCAUAUACUCCUUCUUCAUGGAAAAUUUUGACACUAAAUAAAAUAUUAAUAUUUUAAUAUUAUUUUAUUAAUAAAAUAUUAUUUUAUUCCAAAAUUUUCCACUUGUCUCCUUGGCAUCCAAAAUGUCUUAUUAUGCCCCAAGUCACUUCCGAAUCACUUUUUAUAUCGUUAAUUCACCCUCAAUAAAAAUAUUACUGUUUAAUUGUUAUUUCUUCACAUGCGGAAUAUUUUACUCUAGAAUAUUCAUUUCACCUUUCAUCACUUUUAAACAUUCUAAUUAACCUCAAUUGGCAUCCGAUAAGCUUUAUUAGCCACCAUAUCAAAGUACAGGUAUUACAGUCUCCCCCACUGAAAUAGAAUUCAUCCUCGAAUUCAUGUCAGUGUUGGGUUAUUAAUCUCACUCUAUGAUCUUAUUCCAUUCCUUACUUUAUAGGGAAUUUUGAUUUAUCCACCACGUUUACCUCUAGUUCGACUAGAAUACUUCACUUAUGUCUAUUAUCAUCAUUUAGAAUCAAAUCGGUGGUACCCUUCAUAAUCAUUAUCUCUUAUAUUAAAAUGCAGAGUAUGUCUUUAUCACCAUCAUUAUAUUUGAACCAUAACUCCAUCUCAAUCAUACCUAUUUCGAUCACAUAUUAUACUUACUUAUGUAUACCUAAUUACCAUCUUAUUACUUCAUUCCUUGUCAAACUUUUCGACGUUCAUUCAUUCAUCUUAUCCCCAUACACUAUUAUAUAGCUCACAACAUUAUAGACAUACCAUAUUCAUUCUUGCACGUAUUUCUCGAUGUUGGGAGGGAGGUUAAUGCCUUCAAUUAUUCCCACAUACAUCAUGUUUACCUUGCAUUUAUGCAACUUCAAUCUUCUUAAUCAUAUUGGUCCAUCUUGUAUGGCUAAACCAUGCUAUAGAUUACAUUUCCUUGAUAUCAUUUCUUUGACUAUUUCUCCAAAAUUUCUUAUAUCAACAUAGCUCAACUUCUGAUGGGAUUUCUUAUCGUUGUACUAUAUAUACAACUCAUCAAUUAUACUGAGUUCAAAUCUCGAAUCACUAAGAACAGUUCUUUACUUUAGUUAGGCACAUCACUAACUCCACACAUACGUAUGUACACGCACAUUUAAGUAUCAACAUUCCUUAUUAUGUGUGGGAAUCCUUGUAUUCAAGUGCCUUCGAACUAAAUUUCCCUUUAUUCAUUCCCAUCUAUAACCAAGAUUCAAUAUAAUAAUCCUCAUAGUGUAUGUCAACAUUCUGAUAUUCAAUCUACAAACAUUAAGGUACAAUCAAUUUCAAAUUGCCUUUUUUCAGUUGUUUAAAUUACCAUUCAACUUGCGUCCUACCACAAGUUAUCUCUUAUGUAAUCCAUACGACUUCUCCUUAUGCCUAUGCAUAACCUCACAUCAUUUUCAUGCUUAUACUCUUUUCUUAUCAUUUCUAAUUAUAUGCUUAAGUGUCAUUGGACUCUAUAUCAUUGCAUCAUAAUGUCAUUAAUCACAUCUCACUGCUAAAAGUCAUUUUCAUUAAAUUGCAAUCCAGUAUGUGUACAUGCUUUAUAAUCUCAUUGAUCUUUCAAAGAUUCAUCUUUACUUGAUCAUUACAUCUUAUACAAUACCAUAUUCCCUAAAAGUCAUCCUUAUUUCUCAAUUAUCUUUCAUGCCUCUAACAUAUACAUUAUAUCCUUAUUGCAUUUCGAUAUUAACCAAUCACUUAAUACUUAGACUCAUUCGAAUCAUACAUGCCGCAUGCAUUUUCGAAUUUCAAUUUCCAUAAUACAUUAGUAGGUUUUCAUUAUCCAACUUCAUUAUCAAGGUUACCUUCAACCAUCCUUUGUACUAUUCUCUCAUACUAAUAUAACAUCUUUCUCCCUUAGCCCAUUGACUAUAUGUACUUGAAAUUUCAAGACUGGAAACAAGGUUUUUCUCAAGUACCUUUUAAUGUCAAUGUGAGUAUCACUUUCAGCUUACGACUUCCCUUUUGUAACAACAUAACUUAAUGCUUGUUUUCACAAGAUUCAUAUCAGGAUUCCUCUUGAGUAUUUCCUUGUAGAUACCUACCUUAAACUUAUGUCUCACCUCAUGUGAUCACAUAACCCAUGGUUUAGCCGUUAGGCUUUUUAGCAAGUUUCAAAAUCCCACUUAUUAUACUUGCCGUGUAUGAUUGGUAAUGCCUUCUCAAGGAUGUUCAUGCAUACCAGAAGCACUUAAUCACAUAUUUGCUCUUUAACAUUCUGAGUAUAUCAUUCCAAAAAGGCAUGCACUUAUUCACCAAGAUAUUUAAAUUCAUGCUCAACUAUUCAUACUUCAAUUUAUCUUCAAGGGCUUUUAGUAUGCCACAUAAUUAGCCUUAUGUUGUUACUAAUCCUUUUUCAUUCAACUAAGUCGAGGUAAGAUUUAUAAAUCCGCAUGGCGAUACUUUGUUUUAACUCAUUUUCUAUGCCACCCUUGUAAUCCUUCAUUCACAAUUUCAUCACUUGGUAUUGACAUCCCUUGUCAAUGUCUUACACAUUCAUCUAACCUUUCACUCACUUUUUCCUAAGCCUUUAACAAGGCUUAAUCUCUUGUCUUCUUUAUUUCUUAGGAUUUGACUUUAGUCAACAUAUUAUUCAUCUUAAUACUUCACAUGGUAGUUUAUCUCAAUGUAGCAGUCUCGAGAACUCUCUAACUUCUCUUUUACUUACAUGGCAAUAUAUAAGGCAAUAAAGAAACUUUUCAAUUCACUCAUAUAAAUACUUUCCCAACGCACUUAAAACUGCAAAUAACAAAGCUCAACAUUAAGAUCAAUAACCAUAAUUCAACUUGUGAGUUUCAUCUUCAUGCCACUCACAAUUUGCUCAUGCUUUUUAGCCAUGAGGGGUUCUUAACGCGGCAGCGUUGGGCAGUCAGUGCUGCGGCGCUAUGACUAUUGGAAAUUUCUUCAUCAAGGCUAUUUGUCUACAUUUAAGGUCACUACAUUGAUCAUCCUCAACCAUCUGGUUUUUUCCUCUAGGCAUAUAUCACAAUUCCCACUAGCACAUGUAUCGUCUCAAUUCUUAUCACCCAUAAUUAAUUGUCUUUCUUGUCUUGUAAAUCAAAUAGUUUAUUGACUUUAGGUACAAAACCCAUGAAAAUAGUUUAUCUUUCUCCACACUUUAUACUCACAAUCCUUAUUAAAUCAAGAAUUCAUUUUUCCCAAUUUUCAUAAUUUACCUCCAUUGGUCUAUAUUGUGUCAAAUUAUAAUUUUGUAAUGUCAUGGCAUCACGUGCCUCCAUCCUUACUACCCAUCAUACAUUCAUAAAAACAAUUAAAAGACUUACAUACCUUUAUCUUCCUUCAUGCAUUGUACAACUCUUUAAGGCCUACUUAUACACUAUGGCCACUUGACCAAUGAGUUAUCGUUUCAACCCAUUUCCUGUUUAUCCCUCAUAUAUCCCUUAACAUUUCUCAUCCAUAGGAAUAUCAGGUUACAAUUCCCUCAAUACUUAAGUUUACAAUCCUCGACUUAAUCACAUUAACCAUUCAAAGUGUCAUCUAUAAUCUCAUUAAUUUCUCUCAUAUCUUUCCGAAUUGUAGUUGCAAUUGAGAUUUCAAAUUUCACAUUUCCAUGAUUAAUCUGUAAUCGUUUGUCAGUUCUUGUAGUUGCUUGUACCAUUAAUGACUUUUUAUGUCAACCUUUAAUAAUUAUCUAAGGCGACCAACCACACCACUAAAGUGAAUAUCCUUCAUCAAUCAUUAUAUUGCUAGUCCACCUCUAUCAUACCAAAAGAUUCCCAUAUGCACCAAGUCAUUUAAACAGCUACUUCAUAAUCCAUUCAAGUCACAUGAAAAUAAGAGCCAAACUCUUAUGCCCUUUGUACAAACAACUAUUACUACUUAGAUUACACCGCAUUUACCCAGGCUUAAACUAAUACAAAGUUGAACGAAAAUAUUAAGUGUCUUUAAGAUCAUCAUUGCCUUGAUCCGAGCACAUCUACGGAUGCUCUUCCGAGUCUUUUUCUACCUCCUGAGAUUUCUCCAUUUUAUCCUUAAUCCAAGCUUGCUGUAUUCUCACGCAUUCCUCCCUACUCACAGGUACAGCACCUCUUCCACAACCAAGAGGAAAGUCUCGGUAACCUGACACCUUGCUUGGAUGAUAACCCCUUGCCAUUGCCUCCUUCAUCUUUUCCUUAAACAUUACCGAAAAGAAACUAUUUUAUGCUUUCCCAAAUCUUAGUGCUUACCUCACUUUCAGAGCUCUCACUACUUUCGAGGCUUUCCUACUCUGAAACAAUAUUUCUAAAUUCGAUGGGACAUAUCCAAUAGGAAUCCGAGACUGGCCACUUUCCUGACUCCCUAGAUCCCGGCACCAUUGCCUCAUAGUAGUGGAAUCUAGCAAUCCCUCAGUAGUACUAUAAAGGGUAUUCAAACUACCGUGGAGUCUAAACAUGGCGCGUGUAACAGGCGCACCUCCAAACCUAUACGUAACCAAGCAUCAAUUGCUUAGUCAUUUAUGCAUCAUAGGAAUCGCUAGGUUUCUAAUGAAUUAGGAGCCUAUGUAGCCUCCCGUCCUUGACUUGUGUUCUACACCCACAAUCCAAGGACAAGACUCUACACUAACUUCAACAACUCUACUGACAACCACAAGAACCACUAAGACUCAACUAAAUCGAGAGCUCUGAUACCAACUUUGUCACAAUCCAAAUCCCGAGCCAUGACCAACACAUAAACCCAAUAGGCAUGGCCCACUAUGCCCAAGCAAGCCUUUCUAUGCAAACUUAUUCAUUAAACCAUCUGUCCUUCAUUUAACUCUAAAGUUCUUAAAUUCAUAGUUUUCAAAAAUAAUCUUUUCUCAAUAACAAAUCAUGGCAACCGAAUAUUUAUCACUCACAAAAUAAUAUUAUCAUCUGCCAACCUGUGGCAACAUUAUCAUGCGAACCAAACAUACAGUGUUUACAACAAAUCUCACGAAUUACAUUUCAAUAACCAUAUACACAUACAAACGACCUUCACUAUCAGCGGAGUGACUCUGACGUGGAUACUAUCACGGGGUGUGCUGGUAAACUUACCGAAAGAUGAAUAGGAGGAAGCACCUCUACGUAGGAUCCAACAAACUUAGAGCCUAAAAACUAAAACAUGAAGUUGAAAAGAAUGAGUAUAAACCCAACGAGUGAACAUAGGAAGGGAACAAGCAAACGAUAAGGAAAGUUUAGAAAUCAUGAUGCAAUUAUGUUAAAAACAAUGCAAUUUAGUUUAAUUCCUCGUAAAACCCCUCAAUUCGACCUUUGAUUAUUUAAUCUCUUAGUGUUAAAGGAUCCAUGAUCCAUAAUGAAAUCGAAAAGUGAAAAUCAUAGUAAAUAUUUAAGCAAGACAAGCAAAAUAGACAGUUUUUUUUUGUUGCAUUGAAAAUCAAUUUCGAAACAAUUAAAAAUUUCAACAUUCAACAUUCAUUGCAAUCACAUAAUAUUUUCUCUAACAUUUCUAUGGUAUGUAUAAAUAUGUAUACAACCACCAGCUCAUCAGCUCAUGUGCACUUCCACACCACACAUAGCUAGAAUCAUCAUCCACCGAUCAUUACCUCAUGUGCACUCCCACACCGCACAUAGCUAGAAUCACCCGUCAUCACCAACAUAUGUACUCCCACACCGCACAUGGGCGGUUACAAUUAUCACACAAUAUUAUCAUUCAAAGCAUAACAUAUAUAUCAUCAGAAUAUAAGAACACAUGGGUUCGUCACAUUACACAUUUUACAACAUAAAACGUUUCAUCAAGGGCUUGCUCUUAAGCAUGAUUUAGAGAAAAAAAAUCAAAUAAAAUCAUUUAAGUGCUUUAUCCCAACACAUGUAUUUCCCCAAAAUAAUUUAAUGCAAGUUCACUCACCUUAACAAUGCCACUGAACAAGACUAGCACCCACAAGAUCUUAAUCCAGGUAGUCCCGAAAUACCAUUAAAACUUAUUAUUGCCAAUAAACAAUAAUAGCUUCAAAUACAUCAUAAAUUUAAACUUAAUAAUUCUAAUAAGCAUACUCUUGAUAAACUACAUUCUAGCCUAAUUUUUUUAACCUAGAAUUCUAGUCUAAUUCUCAAACCCAUCAUAUCAACUAUUCCAAUUUAGAGGUUCUUUACCUUGGUGAGAUUGGAGGCAUAAAGAUCAACAAAAACCUAAUAUUUCUAAGAAAAAGAAUUUGAAGAAAUUAGGAAAUAAAAUCUAAAAAUAUAACCCAUAAAUUUAUAAAUUCCAAGAGUUGAAAAUAUAUACCUUCUAGCCUUAAAAAUGGAGAUUUAAAGUUGAAAAUUCAAGUGUCGAUGAUGGUGGAGUAGAAAUAGAAGAUUAAGGAAAGAAAGAGAGAUUUUUUCCUUUUUUCUCCUAGGGUUUGGUUGUGCUAGAAAAUGGGGUUAAAAGCUACAAGUUUUUUUUUUUUUUAGAAGCUACAGGUUUGGUGCCCAAGAAGUUAGGAGAAGAAAAAAGUAAGAAAAAAAGGAAAUAAAAAGAAUACAAGGAAAAUCAAAUGAAAAAAAUUUGAUUUUCGUGGAGGUGAAAUGAAAAUGGCAUUGGGUGGGUGAGGAAGAAGAAGAAAAUAUGUUUUUGGUGAAG